CUCCCUGUGCCCUUUGACUGCAUCUGGAUGCCCCCGCUAACCACACUACCAUCUCCUUAUUAGAUUGGAGAGGUUGCAGGGCGGGGUUCUAAGCUUCCUAUUGUGGCUCACCUCCAACAGUGAGCCAGCAACAGCUCCCCUAGCCCCACAGCCCAGGGUCCACUUAGCCCCUCUAUCCUGCAUGGUCCCCUUCCCCUCUGGGAAGCAGAUACCCAAAUGAGCAGCAGAAACCUGUCUCUCUCUGCAGGGCCCUCUGCUCCUUAUGAGUGGUGUUUUGUGGGUGUCCUCCCUUGGUUUUGGAUGGGAAACACCCUUUUCCCUUCCACAGGGAUUGUUUCUGUGGACCCCACCCUGAGUGGGGUCCCUGUUGGGACAACGGGCAGGUGGGGAUGGUGGGACCAACUCUUUAGGACCAGCAAUGCCAAACAGAUCCCACUCCGGGGAAGUUCAUUCUAAGUGUCAUGGGUCCUCUGGAACUUUUUGAAGGUUUUCUGUUUUCUUCUCCCCCUAACCAGCUCAUCUGAUCCCCCUGGGAUCUCUACUAAGAUGCUGGCAGCCCAACCAGCUGGUCUGGCCCUGGACAUGCCUUCAGGGACUGGUUAUGCUUCAUGACCUGUGUUGCGGUCAUUGGUAAGCAGCACCUGCUUCUAGCUUUACUGUUGGGCCAGAUUUCAUCCCCACCAUGGCUCUUCACUGCGGCUGCUUCCUGCUCCCUCCAUGGACCUGCACAGAAUUGUCCCAUGUUUCUGUUUGGGCACCACUGAGGAAGGAAGCAUGAAGGAUGCACAGGUCAGGCCAUUCUAUUGCCCUCCUGCUGCUGGGUCUUUAAUCCUGGGAUGGCUUCAGGGGCUGGUCCUUCUCCAUGGCCUCUCCACAUAUCUCAGGUUUCUACUCAAAAGUCACCUCUUGGAGGGGUCUCUCCCUGUCACUGGGUUUGGAACAGCUCCUUCAGUUUCUUUCUAGCUCAUCUCACUCUGGUAAUGUCUUUCAUUACCACCACCACGUGACCUGGUCUUGCGACCUGUUAGCUUCCUUCAUCAGGCAUGAGCACCAGGAUGGCAGGGGCCUCA
rnacentral:lncRNA from 1 species